rnacentral:rRNA from 1 species
UUAAAAAGCUCGUAGUUGGAUUUCUGUCCGAGUCGGCCGGUCCGCACUUAGUGCGUGUAUCUGGUUCGGCUAGGGCAUCCUCUUGGGGAUCGUUUCUGUGCUUUAUUGCAUGGGGCGGAAUUCAAGACUUUUACUUUGAGGAAAUUGGAGUGUUCACGGCAAGCAAUCGCUUUGAAUACAUAGCAUGGAAUAAUAAUAUAGGGCGUAAGUUCUAUUUUGUUGGUUUCUAGGACAUACGCAAUGAUUAAUAGGGACAAUUGGGGGCAUUCGUAUUAACGCGUCAGAGGUGGAAUUCUUAGAUUGCGUUACGACGAGCUACUGCGAAAGCAUUUGCCAAGGAUGUUUUCAUUGAUCAAGAACGAAAGUAUGGGGAUCGAAGACGAUUAGAUACCGUCGUAGUCUAUACCAUAAACUAUGCCAAUUAGAGAUUGGAGGUCGUUCAU